AGAGUUUGAUCCUGGCUCAGAACGAACGCUGGCGGCGCGCCUAAUACAUGCAAGUCGAGCGAGAAGGUGUAGCAAUACACUUGUAAAGCGGCGAACGGGUGAGGAAUACAUGGGUAACCUACCAUCGAGUGGGGAAUAACCAGCCGAAAGGUUGGCUAAUACCGCGUACGCCUCCGGAUCUAUGGAUUCGGAGGGAAAGCUGCACUGUGAGUGCGGCGCUCUUUGAUGGGCUCAUGUCCUAUCAGCUUGUUGGUAGGGUAACGGCCUACCAAGGCUUUGACGGGUAGCUGGUCUGAGAGGACGAUCAGCCACACUGGCACUGCGACACGGGCCAGACUCCUACGGGAGGCAGCAGUAAGGAAUAUUGCGCAAUGGGCGAAAGCCUGACGCAGCGACGCCGCGUGGGGGAUGAAGGUCUUCGGAUUGUAAACCCCUUUCGGGAGGGAAGAUGGAACGAGCAAUCGUUCGGACGGUACCUCCAGAAGCAGCCACGGCCAACUUCGUGCCAGCAGCCGCGGUAAUACGAAGGUGGCAAGCGUUGUUCGGAUUCACUGGGCGUACAGGGUGUGUAGGCGGUUUGGUAAGCCUUCUGUUAAAGCUUCGGGCCCAACCCGGAAAGCGCAGAGGGUACUGCCAGGCUAGAGGGCGGGAGAGGAGCGCGGAAUUCCCGGUGUAGCGGUGAAAUGCGUAGAGAUCGGGAGGAAGGCCGGUGGCGAAGGCGGCGCUCUGGAACGUACCUGACGCUGAGACACGAAAGCGUGGGGAGCAAACAGGAUUAGAUACCCUGGUAGUCG
rnacentral:rRNA from 1 species